rnacentral:antisense_RNA from 1 species
AGAAGCUCACUGGCUCUACCCGGAACCCUGAGCUGCCUAGGGCUGGGGGAGGGGUCCGAGCAGUCGCGGAGCCUGCCAGACCCUCGGCUAGAAUGGGGACCCGCUGUCCAGCCAAGGCUGGCGGAGGCGCACUGGGGGCGCAGAGGGCGAUGCUAGUAGUCUGGACCCAAAGGACUGCAGGAAGGAGACCGUGAGGAAGUGUCUGUGACUGGGAAGCCCCAGCUCCUGCUUGGGCCAGGCAGCCAGCACCUACCUGAUCCCGGGGAACCGGAGUCCGGCGGCGGCAGGAGAGGGUGUGCUGCCAAGUAGGACGGCGGGCAAAGGGCUUCUUCAAGUUUCUGCGCUGGAGUCACAACCUGAGAGGAAUCACUGUCUGGCGUUGGUGUCUGAGCAGAAGCCGCAGGAACGAGCAGGAGCAGCAGGAGGAGCUGCAGGACUUGUUUGCCGAGGCUCGUGUUCUGUUCAAAAGUUUGUAGACG